CGACGAUGCAGUACAAAAGAACGCGCUGCGCGUGCUCGAACCAGCAGUGCACGCUCCUUACGCGUCUGGCCGGCAGCACGGGAAGAAUUCGAAGCAAGAACGCCUGAGGUGACAUCCUUUGCACAGUCGGGCUUCGGAGUGGAAGAAUGAGGUCCAUCACGGCCUGCGCGUUGCUCGCUGCUGUCGCGGUUUUCGCCGCACUCCCUGCCGAAUCGGACGCUUCGUGGAGCGGCUGCCAGUACUUCAACUGCACACUCAGAACUCCCGUGCGGCCAAGCGAUAUCGGAAACUUCAUGGAGGCCUUCAGCACAUUCAGCUCUCAUCCGUGCAUCAACUGCACUUUCUACGGGAACAUCUUCCACUCCCAGCUCCAUUCUGUGUGAGCCCGAUGUGACAAAUGCCUCCCCCAAAAAAAA